AUAGUUCAUUCUCUCUCACUAUUAAUCUUGGAGCAGUACUGAGAAGGUUAGCAUGAUCCCUUCAAAAGGAAGGCAUGCAACUUUGGGAAGUGUUCCUUAUUUUU